rnacentral:lncRNA from 1 species
UAAAUUUUUUAAGUGCUUCCAGUCAUAUUCCAUCAUUCUUCUAAUUUGCUGACUACGACGCCUGAUUGGUGGAUUUGUGUCCAAUUACAUAUAUUUCACCAUAUUCCACAGCCGUCACCUGAUUGAAUAUAUCAACAAUCUAUUCGGACAUCGGAGAUUGCUCUAUCAUUGCACGUUCUAACAGAUCUGUUGGCUAUUAUUGUGUCACAUAUUUUAAGAAGAUAAACAAGACGGAGCAGCAAGAAGGAAUAACAAUAAUCGCCGGUAAUACUCCGGACUGUCGCGCUAUGCUCGAUACGGCGCAUGUUUCAAUCCACCUACGCAGUUUGUACGCUUCGCUCCAUGAUAUCAUCGACUCAUUCCAUCAACCAAGGCAUGAUCUGAGAUUGUCAAUUAUGCAUUUCGCAUGAUGACAAUACGAGAACGGAAAUCUUGACAUAAAUUACGAUUCUCGAACGGCCCCAAAGGCCAAGACUGAAUAUGUUUGCCUUGUGUCAAGGAUAUUAUGGACAACGUUGUACUAUUUCUAGAAAGUACGAAGAAGCCAUCAGGUGGAUUCAUCACGGAUGGAUCUCGACGUCAGCAUGGGCAAGUCGACGAGAGAUUAAGGGUGCCGUGCCCUGGCCCCUUAGGGGUUGGCUGGCAAGCGACUCAUUCUUUUAUCAUCAGUCUACUCCGGAGUUGGUUAACUUAUGCACGUGCUAUUCCAUGCUAAAUACCCAGGCGAUUGGAAAGUUGCGCCUCGUGUCUCGUUUGGUCCCGACUAUUAGUUAUCCGCAUGUUGGCAUGGCCAGAUACGAAGCCCUAUUAGUUGCCUUGCAGAUGGACUACCUACUCACUUAUCACUAGGUAACUACUUAGUUGCUUGGAUGAAGAGGCCUGAACUCCAACCUCUUCUUCUUGGAGUAACACGUGUUGUCCGUGCUACCACCAGCCCUUUCUGCGUGCCUGCAUCUGCAUGGCAUGGGAAUCAAAUCACGUUUGUCUACAAUGAAUCAUUGAAUGUCAGCUUGGAUUCAUAUACGUACAGAGGCUUCCCGCAUGCGACAAGGCCGGCCGCGAAGAAACGAUCCAAGCUCCGGACUAACUCGCCUCACUCUUUUUUUGCUCGUAGAUUAUUACGAUGAUUAAAAAAAUUUCAUCGUGUCGAGAUUCCGGUUUUUGAUCAUGAUGCUAACACUAAUCAGAUGAAUGACCAUGUUGGAUUUCUUAUAUUACCGGUUUCCGACGAGAUCCGCAUUCGUCAAAACAUACCUAACGCACGAAAUAUAUUUUCUCAGAGUCAUGUACGACCUUGAGGCUGAAAGCCAAAAGGAGCAGAACGUCAGUCAGGAGUGCUCAGAUAUCAGUUGAGACCGGUACCUAUGUAGUAGUACGGUCACUACGGUGAUACCUACACUAUCAACGGCACGAGCCGCACUGAUCGUGUUAGUCCGUCAGAGUCAUGGCUAACUUCGAACCUACACAAAAAACGGGCAUAUGUAUAGUAUCUUGAUGUAUUAAAUCAGAACACCUGACCCUGAUUAAUGCAAAAU